rnacentral:rRNA from 1 species
AUGAGUCGACCUGAUGGGAUCAACAUCCCCGACGGCAAGUUCUACCUUGGAGAUGCUGGCUAUGCAUGUCGGCCGGGUAUUCUUCCACCCUUCAGGAAAACAAGGUACCAUCUCAACGAGUUCUCUGGUAGGAACUAUCCUAGGACUGCACAGGAGCUGUUUAAUCUCAGACACUCCAGCCUUAGAGUAACUGUUGAGAGGGCAUUUGGAGCUCUGAAGAAUAGGUUUAAGAUCCUGGAUCAGAAGCCAUUCCACCCAUACUCCACUUAG